GAUGAACGCUAGCGGCAGGCUUAAUACAUGCAAGUCAAGGGGGUAGCAAUACAACCGGCGCACGGGUGAGUAACGCGUACACAACAUACCAUAUACUGGAGUAUAGCUUUGGGAAACUGAAGGUAAUCCUCCAUAACAUUGCGAGAGGGCAUCUGAUUGCAAUUAAAGUUUCGGCGGUAUAUGAUUGGUGUGCGUUUGAUUAGCUAGUUGGUAGGGUAACGGCCUACCAAGGCGACGAUCAAUAGCUGGCGUGAGAGCGCGACCAGCCACACUGGAACUGAGACACGGUCCAGACUCCUACGGGAGGCAGCAGUAGGGGAAUAUUGGACAAUGGAGGAAACUCUGAUCCAGCCAUGCCGCGUGAUAGAUG
rnacentral:rRNA from 1 species